AUACAUCUGUAUAUAUGUACACAUCAUUUUACAUAUCAAAGCAAAUAACUGGACGGUGUUGGAAUUUUGGCGAAAAGGGAUGGCCACGCCUGCACUCACUUCCCAAACAUAGGGGCACACCAAAUCUUUUUUUUGUUGUUUUCUUUUUCAUUCUUUGGUUGCAAUUUAAACGUAAAGAUGAACAGUGUGUGAUAUGAUAAUUUUUCAUAUAAUAGGAGUAUAUAUAAAAACUAACUAUUUUUUCAUUCUUUUUAUGAAUUUUGGCUUUUAGAAAGAAAAAGAUCGAGUAAAUCGGAGACUGACACCAGUGACGGCCACUUCACUUGAAUAUAAAGUUCAUGGCGGGAUGAUGAAGAAUUUGAUCUUCUACAUCGUAAUUAAGCACUUACGUAAUUCUCGCAGUUUUGUUAUAAUUACUUAAAUUAAUCUCAUGCAACUGUCUUUUGUUAUUAUGUAAUUUUUUAUUAAUUUUGAUA
rnacentral:lncRNA from 1 species